rnacentral:rRNA from 1 species
AACGACUCUCGGCAACGGAUAUCUCGGCUCUCGCAUCGAUGAAGAACGCAGCAAAAUGCGAUACUUGGUGUGAAUUGCAGAAUCCCGUGAAUCAUCGAGUUUUUGAACGCAAGUUGCGCCCGAAGCCUUNNGGCCAAGGGCACGUCUGCCUGGGUGUCACGC